UACGUAGGGUGCGAGCGUUAAUCGGAAUUACUGGGCGUAAAGCGUGCGCAGGCGGUUUUGUAAGCCAGAUGUGAAAUCCCCGGGCUUAACCUGGGAAUGGCAUUUGGGACUGCAAGGCUUGAGUGCGGCAGAGGAGACUGGAAUUCCUGGUGUAGCAGUGAAAUGCGUAGAUAUCAGGAGGAACACCGGUGGCGAAGGCGGUCUGCUGGCCGAUGACUGACGCUGAGGAGCGAAGCGUGGGAGCGAACAGG
rnacentral:rRNA from 1 species